rnacentral:tRNA from 1 species
CCCCGUAGCUCAGUUGGUUAGAGCGCCGCCCUGUCACGGCGGAGGUCACCGGUUCAAGUCCGGCCGGGG